CCUACGGGAGGCAGCAGUGAGGAAUAUUGGUCAAUGGGCGAGAGCCUGAACCAGCCAAGUCGCGUGAAGGAUGACGGCCCUACGGGUUGUAAACUUCUUUUGUCAGGGAGCAAUUGAGUCCACGUGUGGGCUUAGCGAGAGUACCUGAAGAAAAAGCAUCGGCUAACUCCGUGCCAGCAGCCGCGGUAAGACGGAGGAUGCGAGCGUUCUCCGGAUUUAUUGGGUUUAAAGGGGGCGUAGACGGAAUAUCAAGUCAGCGGUAAAACUUCGGGGCUCAACCCCGUCGUGCCGUUGAAACUGAUGUUCUUGAGUGGGCGAGAAGUAUGCGGAAUGCGUGGUGUAGCGGUGAAAUGCAUAGAUAUCACGCAGAACUCCGAUUGCGAAGGCAGCAUACCGGCGCCCAACUGACGCUGAAGCACGAAAGCGUGGGUAUCGAACAGGAUUAGAUACCCCUGUAGUC
rnacentral:rRNA from 1 species